rnacentral:rRNA from 1 species
AUAGUAACUUCUGCUCAAUGUAAAUAGCCGCAGUACUCUGACUGUGCAAAGGUAGCAUAAUCAUUUGGCUUAUAAUUGAAGUCUAGUAUAAAUGAAUCAUGAAGAUUACUGUCUCAAUAUUUAUAUCAAAUUAAUUAUAAAGUGAAAAUACUUUAAUAAACAAAAGACGAGAAGACCCUAGAAAUUUUUAUAUUUGUUGGGGCAACAUAGUAAUACUUUAUAAAAAUUUUAUUAAGAUAUUUAAUUACUCUAGGGAUAACAGCAUAAUCUAUUUAGCUUGUGACCUCGAUGUUGGAUUAGGAAAAGUUAAAG